rnacentral:rRNA from 1 species
CCUACGGGCGGCUGCAGUAGGGAAUCUUCCACAAUGGGCGAAAGCCUGAUGGAGCAACGCCGCGUGGGUGAAGAAGGUCUUCGGAUCGUAAAACCCUGUUGUUAGAGAAGAAAGUGCGUGAGAGUAACUGUUCACGUUUCGACGGUAUCUAACCAGAAAGCCACGGCUAACUACGUGCCAGCAGCCGCGGUAAUACGUAGGUGGCAAGCGUUAUCCGGAUUUAUUGGGCGUAAAGGGAACGCAGGCGGUCUUUUAAGUCUGAUGUGAAAGCCUUCGGCUUAACCGGAGUAGUGCAUUGGAAACUGGGAGACUGGAGUGCAGAAGAGGAGAGUGGAACUCCAUGUGUAGCGGUGAAAUGCGUAGAUAUAUGGAAGAACACCAGUGGCGAAAGCGGCUCUCUGGUCUGUAACUGACGCUGAGGUUCGAAAGCGUGGGUAGCAAACAGGAUUAGAUACCCCAGUAGUC